rnacentral:rRNA from 1 species
AUUGAAGAGUUUGAUCAUGGCUCAGAUUGAACGCUGGCGGCAGGCCUAACACAUGCAAGUCGAACGGUAACAGGAAGCAGCUUGCUGCUUCGCUGACGAGUGGCGGACGGGUGAGUAAUGUCUGGGAAACUGCCUGAUGGAGGGGGAUAACUACUGGAAACGGUGGCUAAUACCGCAUAACGUCGCAAGACCAAAGAGGGGGACCUUCGGGCCUCUUGCCAUCAGAUGUGCCCAGAUGGGAUUAGCUUGUUGGUGAGGUAACGGCUCACCAAGGCGACGAUCCCUAGCUGGUCUGAGAGGAUGACCAGCCACACUGGAACUGAGACACGGUCCAGACUCCUACGGGAGGCAGCAGUGGGGAAUAUUGCACAAUGGGCGCAAGCCUGAUGCAGCCAUGCCGCGUGUAUGAAGAAGGCCUUCGGGUUGUAAAGUACUUUCAGCGGGGAGGAAGGUGUUGUGGUUAAUAACCGCAGCAAUUGACGUUACCCGCAGAAGAAGCACCGGCUAACUCCGUGCCAGCAGCCGCGGUAAUACGGAGGGUGCAAGCGUUAAUCGGAAUUACUGGGCGUAAAGCGCACGCAGGCGGUCUGUCAAGUCGGAUGUGAAAUCCCCGGGCUCAACCUGGGAACUGCAUUCGAAACUGGCAGGCUUGAGUCUUGUAGAGGGGGGUAGAAUUCCAGGUGUAGCGGUGAAAUGCGUAGAGAUCUGGAGGAAUACCGGUGGCGAAGGCGGCCCCCUGGACAAAGACUGACGCUCAGGUGCGAAAGCGUGGGGAGCAAACAGGAUUAGAUACCCUGGUAGUCCACGCCGUAAACGAUGUCUACUUGGAGGUUGUGCCCUUGAGGCGUGGCUUCCGGAGCUAACGCGUUAAGUAGACCGCCUGGGGAGUACGGCCGCAAGGUUAAAACUCAAAUGAAUUGACGGGGGCCCGCACAAGCGGUGGAGCAUGUGGUUUAAUUCGAUGCAACGCGAAGAACCUUACCUGGUCUUGACAUCCACAGAAGAAUCCAGAGAUGGAUUUGUGCCUUCGGGAACUGUGAGACAGGUGCUGCAUGGCUGUCGUCAGCUCGUGUUGUGAAAUGUUGGGUUAAGUCCCGCAACGAGCGCAACCCUUAUCCUUUGUUGCCAGCGAUUAGG